UUAAUUGAAGCCAAAAACGCGGCAUAUUACUGUUAAUAAUAUAAAUGAAUUUAAAAUUCCAAUUAAA
rnacentral:tRNA from 1 species